rnacentral:rRNA from 1 species
GACGAACGCUGGCGGCGUGCUUAACACAUGCAAGUCGAACGGAAAGGCCCUGCUUGCAGGGUACUCGAGUGGCGAACGGGUGAGUAACACGUGGGUGAUCUGCCCUCCAAUUCGGGAUAAGCCAGGGAAACUGGGUCUAAUACAGGCUGGGAGCCAUUUUUAGUGGGAUGGUUGGAAAGUUUUUUCGGUGUAUGAUGAGCUUGCGGCCUAUCAGCUUGUUGGUGGGGUUAUGGGCUACCGAGGCGGCGGAGGGUAGCCGGCCUGCGUGGGUGGACGGCCACACUGGGACUGAGGGACGGCCCAGACUCCUACGGGAGGCAGCAGUGGGGAAGAUUGCACAAUCGGCGCAAGCCGGAUGCAGCGACUCCGCGUGGGGGAUGACUGCCUUCGGGUUGUAAACUCCUUUCGCUAGGGACGAAGCUUUUUGUGACGGUACCUAGAUAAGAAGCACCGGCUAACUACGUG